UAUCUAAACAACAGUAUCUGUGUCUGUCUGCAGAGUAAGAGAAACCAUGGAACUCUGCACUCGAACCUUUACAAGUUUUCUUCUUCCCAGUUCGUUUCUCUCUUCAAACAAAAUUCUUCUCCUUGCUAAUGCCAACUCUUCAGUCUUCAAAUUCAAUUCCCUUAAACUUUUUGCACCUCAUGAUCAUCUCUUUCAACCCUUUAUCUCUCGUUACAAUUCUUUCUCUUCCCCCUUCACAGUCUCAGCUGCUUCUUCCUCUUCCUCAGUCGCAGUUGGCACAGAACAGGACCGUCUUCCAGCAGAACUGAAGGUUACAGAAACAGAGCAACUCAAAUCCACUGUUAAAUUGCAUGUGGAGGUUCCACCAUUGGUAUGUGAGGAUUGUUACAAAAGGGUCAUAGCAGAGUUUAUGAAGCAAGCAAAGGUCCCUGGAUUUCGUCCGGGAAAGAAAGUUCCAGAAGAGAUUCUUAUUGGUUAUGUUGGGAGACAAAAUGUCCAGAAGGCUACUAUUGAAUCUAUUUUAAGAAGGACACUUUCACAUGCUAUGACAUCGGUUACUGGGAGGGCUUUGCAGGACUCAGUACGCAUAGUUACUAAGUUUUCUGAGAUGGAGGAGACAUAUUCUUCUCUUGGGUCUCUUAGAUAUGAUGUGAUUGUUGAUGUUGCACCAGAAAUCAAAUGGAUUCCUGAUAAUAAUGCAUACAAAAAUUUAAAGAUUGUUGUUGAGAUAGACAGUGAUAUAGAUGCUCAAAUAGCAUCUGAACAAGAAUUUAAAAGGCGUUACAAGUCCAUUGGUGCACUGAAAGUGGUUACUGAUAGAGGGUUACAGGUGGGUGAUAUUGCUGUUCUUGACAUCUCAGCAACAACCAUUGAUCAAGAUGAAUCAAAUGUUAAAACUAUUCCUUCAGCUGAAAGUAAAGGCUUUAAUUUUGAUACAGAGGACGGAGACAAGGUAUUACCAGGUUUCCUUGAUUCAAUAAUUGGAAUUCAACGAGGUGAAUCAAAGUCUUUUCCUCUUGUAUUUCCUGAAACAUGGAACCAGGAAAAUCUUCGAGGUGUUCAUGCUCAGUUUAAUGUUGAAUGCAAAGAACUUUUUUACAGAGAUUUGCCAGAACUGGAUGAUUCUAUUGCUGAUAAGCUUCUCCCUGGAUGCAGCACAGUGGAGCAGGUCAAAGACUUAUUGUUACAGAGAUGCCUAGAGGUGGAGCAAACAGCUCGAGAACAAGCAACUGAUAAUGCUAUCUUAGAUCAGAUUUCUAAGAUGGUUGAAGUUGAUAUACCUCAAUCCUUGUUUGAGGAACAAGGUAGGCAGCUUUAUGGAGCCAACCUAUUAGAAAUACAGGCAAAAAUGAAACUAAGUGAGCAACAACUGGCAUCUCUCUCAAGUCCAAAGGCUGUGAACCAAUAUCUUGAGCAUCAGAAGGAAAAUAUAACAAAUUUGAUAAAACAGAAUCUGGCAGUGGGUGAUAUAUAUAGGCGUGAAAAUCUGCAGUUUGCUACCGAGGAUCUCGUCAAAGAGGUUGAGAAUUCCAUUGCUGAAUUCAAACGUCAAAAUCAAGAAUAUGAUGAGGAACGGGUGAAGGAUCAGGUUCAAGAAAUACUAGAAGGAGCUAAAGUGCUUGAAUGGUUGAGAGAACAUGCAGAGAUUCAAUACAUAACUAGAUGAGAGAUGAACUCCAGCCAAAACCAAUCAGGAAAAAGAAAUUGCAGGUUUUGAAAGAAUUUUGUUUCAGCGGAUGUCUUCAUCUACAGAUAUAACACCAAUUGAAGCAUGCUCUUAUUAAUUGUAGAGUGAACUUGUCAUAAACGCCUUUCUUGCAAUAUAUGUCCGAGUUUUGCAUAGAGAGCCAGCUGCUCCUCUGAACCAAGCUGCUAAAUCCCAGGAUAUCUUACCGAAUGAGAAAUCAGUCCUGGCAAUGGAAUGUACUCUGGCUUAAAAAUUGGGUCAGGGUCACACUGAAGCCAACUAGUUGAUAAGUCCUGAAUUUAUUUCACACAAGCAUUAGGAUCAACAUAGAUAUUUCCUCCAAGAUGAUUGCACUCAAUCAAGAUUGUUACCUUCCUUGGACAUGUUAGCCAUUGGAAGCGACCCAAGAAGUAGGCAAACUGCAUAAACACAGGUGACAUCAUCAUGUAAAUAAAUUAUACUGAAAAAUAUCAUUAAAUUAACUUAAAGGGGAGGUUGUGAGUCAAACACAUGAUAUUAGAGAGUUCAGUUAUAACUAAAAUGUGAAUUUUUAAA